AGAGUUUGUACUGGCUCAGAUUGAACGCUGGCGGCAGGCCUAACACAUGCAAGUCGAGCGGAAACGACAACAUUGAAUCUUCGGAGGAUUUGUUGGGCGUCGAGCGGCGGACGGGUGAGUAAUGCCUAGGAAAUUGCCUUGAUGUGGGGGAUAACCAUUGGAAACGAUGGCUAAUACCGCAUAAUGCCUACGGGCCAAAGAGGGGGACCUUCGGGCCUCUCGCGUCAAGAUAUGCCUAGGUGGGAUUAGCUAGUUGGUGAGGUAAUGGCUCACCAAGGCGACGAUCCCUAGCUGGUCUGAGAGGAUGAUCAGCCACACUGGAACUGAGACACGGUCCAGACUCCUACGGGAGGCAGCAGUGGGGAAUAUUGCACAAUGGGCGAAAGCCUGAUGCAGCCAUGCCGCGUGUAUGAAGAAGGCCUUCGGGUUGUAAAGUACUUUCAGUUGUGAGGAAGGGUGUGUAGUUAAUAGCUGCGCAUCUUGACGUUAGCAACAGAAGAAGC
rnacentral:rRNA from 1 species